rnacentral:ncRNA from 1 species
UACAGGUUUGGUCCUAGCCUUCCUAUUAGUUAUUAAUAAACUUACACAUGCAAGAAUCCCCGCCCCAGUGAAGAUGCCCUUCAAACCAUCCAAUGGUAAGAAGGAGCUGGUAUCAAGCACGCUAACUAAAGCAGCUCAAGACGCCUUGCUCAGCCACGCCCCCACGGGAGACAGCAGUGACAAAAAUUAAGCAAUGAAUGAAAGUCUGACUAAGUUAUAUUACUAAGGACCGGUAAAUCUCGUGCCAGCCACCGCGGUCAUACGAUUGGUCCAAACUAAUGGGCAUACGGCGUAAAGAGUGUUUUAGAGCCAACAAACAAUAAAGUCAAGCCCCAACUAAGCCGUAAAAAGCUCUAGUCCUACGUAAGAUACCCGACGAAAGUGACUUUAAAAAAUCUGACGACACGAUAGCUAGAACCCAAACUGGGAUUAGAUACCCCACUAUGCCUAGCCCUAAACAUAAAAAAUUAUAAAAACAAAAUUAUUCGCCAGAGUACUACCAGCAAGAGCUAGAAACUCAAAGGACUUGGCGGUGCCUUAUAUCCCCCUAGAGGAGCCUGUUCUAUAAUCGAUAAACCCCGAUAUACCUCACCAACCUUUGCUAAAUCAGCCUAUAUACCGCCAUCUUCAGCAAACCCUAAAAAGGAAGCAUAGUAAGCACAAAUAUAAACAUAAAAAAGUUAGGUCAAGGUGUAGCCUAUAGGUUGGGAAGCAAUGGGCUACAUUCCUCGGCCUCGAGGAACACAUUAACGAAAACUUACGUGAAAUCGGAAGUCAAAGGCGGAUUUAGUAGUAAAUUAAGAAUAGAGUGCUUAAUUGAAUAGGGCCAUGAGGCACGCACACACCGCCCGUCACCCUCCUCAAAUAAAAUAUAUUAAUCACUACCCCAAGCCCAAAAAUAUUAACCUAUGAGAGGAGACAA